rnacentral:rRNA from 1 species
UACGGGGGGGGCAAGCGUUGUUCGGAAUUACUGGGCGUAAAGGGCUCGUAGGCGGCCAACUAAGUCCGACGUGAAAUCCCAAGGCUUAACCUUGGAACUGCGUCGGAUACUGGAUGGCUUGAAUUCGGGAGAGGGAUGCAGAAUUCCAGGUGUAGCGGUGAAAUGCGUAGAUAUCUGGAGGAAUACCGGUGGCGAAGGCGGCAUCCUGGACCGACAUUGACGCUGAGGAGCGAAAGCUAGGGGAGCAAGCGGG